CCAGUCCGGCACCGUGGGUGCUGUGGGAGAGGCGGCGGCGGCGGCUCCUGGCAGAAGGUAGGGCAGGGACCGCGCAGGGCUCAGCUAAAGGCGUCCCUCCGAUCCAGGGCGGGCGGCUGCCCCUCUGAGGCUCCAUAUGGCACCUUGAGUCUGCGUGUCAGUAAUGGCUUCCAUGAAACCAAAGCCCCAUCCUGUGUCACCACGGCUUUGAGCAGGUGGCAGAAUAAACCGGGUCUUAAUGGCCGGUCAGAAGCCUCGUUCACCGAGUUAACGACAGCCUAAUAACGCGCACUGAUUCCCUGAGCGUGGGUAAACCGUUAAUAAGGCUCACUGGAGGAGGCUAAUGACGCUGCGUACCUGGCAGCAUCAGCCUUUCAUGAAUUUGGGGGCUUCAAGAGUCUGGAAACCCAUGGAUGAUAGGCUGGCAGUAGUGACCAGCAUGGAAUAAUCAUCCCUAUAAUACAGUUAAGAGCAUAUAGAAGAGGAUCUGCAGGAUCCACGUCAUCUAUGUAGAGGAAUGAAGAGGCUCUGGACCUGGGCAUUUGGCUGACAGACCACUGCAGUAGUGAUGCUGUUGGUACGUGGGGCAUUCAAACAGGUUGUCUGUCAACAUGCUUUUGUGUCCCUAAUUGUGUACAUCCAAGUUUGGUCUUCACCUCUAGGAAACUGUGUCUGUGUACCUGUUGCUAUUUCUCUAUUGGGUCUGGCUCUUAACUCUAAGAUUUGUAGCUUGCAAUUUCCUUUCGCAGGCUCAGCCUUUCUGUGGUCCUUUCUAGUUUUGUCACCACUAAGAUCCCUGAUCUUGUUUAGGACUUCAGCCACUGUUGGCUCAAGAAUGUGGGGCUAUGUCCUGGAUCAGACAUAACAUUGUUGGAAGUGAAACAGUAGCUACGGAUACCAUCUGCUCAGGAUACUGUGUCAGUGCUAUCCCCUGGCUUUGCUAUUGCUAGCCAGAUUAGCUGAAGCAAUAGGAAAGUUAGCAAAGCAAAGCAACAGGGGCUGGGUUAUGUUUAUUAUACUCUGUUUUGGUCAAAAUAGCCAGUACCUUCUGAAUCUGACCAGCUCAAAACACAAGUGAAAGCUGAACAUGAAGCAAGCACCAGGCAAGGCUGGGGAAGUGUCUUCUGGUUAGUUACCCGAUCCUCUUUGACAUGCCCUGUUUCAGCAGCAAGAACAUAUGGCCCAGUGGGCAUACUCAAACCAGAAAACAUAAGUGCUAAGCCAGAAGAUCUCGACUAGUUUUAACAUCUCCUAAACCCCGAGGCAAGACCCCGAGGAAUACCUUGUGUGGGGCAGUGGGGUCACGCGCAGCUAGGAAGCCCCCCAGGACAGCGUAGGCUGCAGCUGUGGCCCCACUGCGUUGCUGUGGAGCAGCACUGAGCUGCUAAGAGCUGCUGAGCUGAGCUCAACAUUUAACCCCAGACAGUCCUCAGGGGUCCUGGCCCUCUCCCAGCCAUGGUGUCCUGCCAGGGUCGUGUAUCUGCUGCUCACCUGGCCACAGAGCACUCCCAGGCCAGAGGACAGCAAACUGCCCAGCCCCUGCAAGCUCGGCUGUUGCAAGGAGGACAGAGAUGGUCUCAUUCAAGGAGCUAUUACUGGUCAGUAAGCAUACUGCAGUGGCUGCUCCCUGCUUACUUACCCUGCAUCUGCUCAUGAAAAACACCACUGAAACCAGUCUUGGGCCGUUAUCUUUGCCUGGGACUCCAAGACUGGGAUUUGGGUUUUUUUGUUAAAGUAGGUUUUCUAAAGGGGCAGAUAAUUGUUGUUCAUUCUUGAAUUU